rnacentral:rRNA from 1 species
AGCGAACGCUGGCGGCAGGCCUAACACAUGCAAGUCGAACGAAGUCUUCGGACUUAGUGGCGGACGGGUGAGUAACACGUGGGAACGUGCCUUUAGGUUCGGAAUAACUCAGGGAAACUUGUGCUAAUACCGAAUGUGCCCUUCGGGGGAAAGAUUUAUCGCCUUUAGAGCGGCCCGCGUCUGAUUAGCUAGUUGGGGAGGUAAAGGCUCACCAAGGCGACGAUCAGUAGCUGGUCUGAGAGGAUGAUCAGCCACAUUGGGACUGAGACACGGCCCAAACUCCUACGGGAGGCAGCAGUGGGGAAUCUUGCGCAAUGGGCGAAAGCCUGACGCAGCCAUGCCGCGUGAAUGAUGAAGGUCUUUGGAUUGUAAAAUUCUUUCACCGGGGACGAUAAUGACGGUACCCGGAGAAGAAGCCCCGGCUAACUUCGUGCCAGCCGCCGCGGUAAUAC